CUGAAGGAACGUUGAAGACGACGACGUUGAUAGGUCGGGUGUGUAAGCGCAGCGAUGCGUUGAGCUAACCGAUACUAAUGAACCGUGAGGCUUAACCUUACAACGCCGAAGGUGUUU
rnacentral:rRNA from 2 species